ensembl:misc_RNA 7SK 7SK RNA
GGAUAUGAGGGUGAUCUGGCUGUGAAAUCUGUCACCCCAUUGAUGGCCGGGGUAAAAUCAGCUGAUCUGUGUGUAGGUGGGCAUCCCCUUCCUCCCUCAGCACUCCGUGUGCAUCUCUUCAGAAGCUACCUGCAGGGUUGAAGAGGAAGAUGCUCCCUGCCUGAAGAGGACUGUUUUUCAGUCAUGAGUAUACAGUAGCUGUUCUCCCCUGUCAGAACCUCCAAAUAAGCUCUCAAGGUCCAUUUGUAGGAGAAUGUAGGGUAGUCAAGCUUCCACGACUCCAGACACGUCUAAAUGAGGUGCUGCAUGUGGCAGUCUGCCUUUU